rnacentral:tRNA from 1 species
CGGGGUAUCGUAUAGUGGCAGUAUGCAUGGCUGGGGGUCAUGCGGCGGCGGUCCGAUUCCGCCUACCCCGACCC